rnacentral:tRNA from 1 species
GCGGGUGUGGCGGAACUGGUAGACGCGCUAGACUUAGGAUCUAGUGGGCACUGCUCGUGGAGGUUCAAGUCCUCUCACCCGCACCA